GAAUGUGUCCUCAACAGGUCUGAUACUGGAGCUUUCUCAUGAGCUAAAUGCUGAGGCUCCAAAUGGGUAUUAUUAUUUAUCUGCCAAAAUUGGAAAAAGGGUGAUUUCACACAACUUUAAGGUGAAAAAAUAUGUUUGAGAUUACAGUGAAUACACCAAAAGAGCACAGUGUUGUAGAGGAAGAACUGAAGCUGGAGAUUUGUGGAAAGUACACUUAUGGACAGCCAGUACCUGGUGAAGCACUUGUGCAAGUGUGUCGUAAAUUUAAGCGGACUUAUAUUUAUCAUCAGAAUGCUUCAAUGAUUUCACCAUGCCUGGUUGAUUACAGUAAAGGUG